rnacentral:rRNA from 1 species
UACAGAGGUCUCAAGCGUUGUUCGGAUUCAUUGGGCGUAAAGGGUGCGUAGGUGGCGGGGCAAGUUUGGUGUGAAAUCCCGGGGCUCAACCUCGGAACUGCACUGAAUACUGCCUUGCUAGAGCACUGGAGAGGGAACUGGAAUUUACGGUGUAGCAGUGAAAUGCGUAGAUAUCGUAAGGAAGACCAGUGGCGAAGGCGAGUUCCUGGACAGUUGCUGACAUUGAGGCACGAAGGCUAGGGGAGCAAACGGG